UUGCCAAGGAAACAGUGAUAACAAACCCUCUGCCAACUCAGGAGACUUGCACACGCAAUGUAACCGAGAGGACGGUUUUCUCAUUACAUUGGCUUUAAGUCUGUGGGGCCAGGCAGUCUGCUAAAGAGAUCACAAAGACAGAAACAGCCUUUGAGGGCCAAGCGGAUCCACCCUGUAAGCGGUCUGCGGCAGUAAGUGCAAAGUUGGGUCCUCCCAGGAGCGGCACGCUCUUACUGACUGAGAUAAGUCAAAUCCCGUUUCCGUGGCGGGGUUUAUUAGACACCAUGAGCACAGAGAGUAAAAGUUAAACAGGAGCUGUCUCUCACAGGAACCAAGAAGCAAACAGAGAACUGGUACCAAUCCCAUGCCUGCUUCGCUGCGUGGCCAUGGUCCCCGAUGUAUCAAAUGAGGUCGCAUCUACCUACAUCAAUGGAGAUAAAGAAAUUGACCCCGUAAGCAAUUCCAUCUUUAUUUCCUUAUACUCUGAUAAGUUGGAUUUUGAUGUCACUUCUUAGAUACUUUUUGUUGUUGUUGUUGUUUUGUUUUUUUCUAAAUAAAGCUGUAAACAGAGGAGAAAAAAAGAUUCAGUCCUGGAGCUGGGAGCUUAGUGUACUUGCAUUAGCAGGUGUGAGGCCCUGGGUUGAAUCCCCAACAUCAUAAAACGUCAACAAAUGUGAUCUCCAAUCUGCCUGGUACCCGAGCCCAUAUUUGUUCUGUACCUUGGGCUUCCCUUACAGCAUAAGAGAAUGUUCACUGCUCUGAAAGGAACUUAGUAUCACUUGCAAUUCGUUUCCGCUUUCCAAAUCAAAAGCCAUCGAGUAAAAACCUUUUCUCAAGAGUGGAACAGAAAUAUUUAUGCUAAGGGCAAGCAUUAGUAAAGUCGAAUGAGAUGCGGAAUUCUGGCUCGAUGGAAUUCUCCGGGGCCUAGGUAAUAUAGGUUAAAAAUAACAAUAUAUAAAAGGUCCUGUUAUAUACAGUUUAAAACAAGGCUAUGUAAAAUGGACAUGCUUAUUGCUUACGAUGUUGAUACAUCCUCCGGCUGAGGUGAGAUGCCAGGGGAAGCAAGUCUCUUUUCAUGCAAGCUGUUGCUGGCAGCGAGGCCAGUGGAAAUCAGCACAAUCAGGCUACCUAGUAAAUCGGUGAGAGUUCCAAGUAACACGAACAAAGGAAUCAGGUUCUAAGCUAUAGAUGCCAUCAGUUUUUUUUUCUACCCUGCCAUGGUCAGGCCACUGUUGGUGCUGAGCUUCAGAGGCAACCUUUUUGAAAUCUGUUUUGGCAACUGGGGAAGUGUCAGAAGUGUGUCAGGCCAGUUGGUUAAGACUCAGCCAGGCCUCCAGAGCUGGUGGUGCAGUUGUUCCUUACACUGUAGGCUGGGGGAGACGUAAUGGGAAGAGCCUUGCACCUGCACUCUGAUGGUCUCGGGAGGGCUUGGUCAGAUUCCCGCCUAUGGACGCAGAGACGGAGCAGAAUCCUUACAUCAGCACUUCCCCACCCAUUGUGAGAGCCAAAGUUACAGACACAAAGCUUUCAUUACUGUGCCUAAGAAAUCCGUGAAACAGAAGUGCCUCUGAUCUGCAAGCCCCUUGCCCAAGGACAGACAGUUCCAGAAAUGCUGGAGGCUUUUGUUAGUGGGAGAUAACUAACUAGUCACGUGUUUUUCACCCCCUCCCCAAACAAGUUUGUUUGACCCAUCUACACCAGACAGUCUUGAUUGCAUGUGGGUGGGAGGAUCACAGUCAGAAAAUACGUCAGAAUAUAUGCUUGCCCCAAUUGGUCCUGAUGGAAAAUGCUAUGAAUUAUGGGUUCUCCUUCUUAAGCCUCUGCAAACCCGAAUUCUGGGGCAUUUCCCUGGGAACCUGUGUAUGAACCUGGCCAGAGCCCAUCCACCUGACCAAUAUUUAAUUAAAGCUUGCUUCAAAUUUGGCUUUAAACUAUGGUAGUGGUCUCAUUCUUGAUCAGUGGGAUUAACACCCAUUGGAUCCUAAUCCUUUUGGGGUCACAUAUUAGAUAUUUACAUUAUGAUUCAUAACAGUAGCAAAAUUACAGUUAUGAUUUAGCAACAAAAAUAAUUUUAUGUUUGGGAGUCACCCCAGCAUGAAGAACUGUAUGAGAGAGCCACAGUACUAGGAAGGUUGAGAACCACUGUCUUACAGCCAUAGUAGGGACCGAUCAUCAAACCCGUGUCCUGAUUGGAGGGUUGAUGGAGUUGGUGGACUGAUGGCAUAGAUAACAGAAUCUUCCACAUAUGUCUUGUGCUAAGCUGGAUGCUGGGAAUACAGUACCAGUCAAGAUAGGCACUGGCCUUGCCUUAUCGAGCCUUCAGUCUUGGGGGGUACAGCCUCAGGAUGGAAGGAAGGCACAUGAUGUAUUACAGAGGAAAGAGGACCAGUGAGCUGGCUCAGGAGGGAGGACCUGCUGCCAUGCCUGACCAGCUGACCUGGAUCCCCAAGAUGCAUGUGGUGGGAAGAGAUCGCAGACACCGGUAAAUUGUCCUCUGAUUUUUACAUCUGCACUGUAGUUUAUGACAGACAGACGGACACAGAGACACAGAGAGACAGACACAGAGAAAAUAAAAUACAUAAACAGAUGUGAUAAUAAUAGUUUUUUUUUUUUAAGAAAAAAAAAACCACCCAGAGGAAGGAGCAAAACGCCGAGGAGGCCAUGAGAAAGCAUUUUCACAGGGGUGAGGACCGGGUGGGUGAGGCAGAAGGAACAAUUCCCAGACGAUCAUUGUCCAGUCUGAGACCCGAACAGUGCUAAGAAGGGAAAAUUCCUCAGACCAAUUAAAUUUAGUAGAGUUUACUUGAGCAAAACAAAACAAAGUAAUUCGCAAAACAUGCAGCUCCUGGAACUAAAAGAACAUUCUGUGAAUUCCCACCAAAGCAUGGGCUGACAGCCUUCGUCUAAAAGCGGCAUGGAGACCUGAACUGGGAGCAGCUUAAUUAGAUAAGUGGUUUCAGGGCAGUCUGCAAUUACCCGGAGCUUAGCUACUGUCAUUAAAGACUGCCUUGCUUUGGUCUGCUGAGGACAGUGUAGGAGCCUUGUCCACACCAAUGGCCGCCUGCAAAUUUUAACAGUAGCCAGUAGGUAUUAUUUGGAUAAGGGGCACAAGGGGAAGAGGAUUUUCUCAUGGGAACCAUCUGCCUCCUCAUGCACAAAAGUACCUGUGAAUUGCUACACAUCUGCAAACUUUUCAGCACACAGAGGGAAGCUGUCUCUGUGGCUACCUAACAAGAGUCCAGUGUUACGAUUUGGGAGCCACCAUGGUGUUAGCUCAAGAGUUCUACCCCGGGAUGGGCUCAGUCAGCUGUUUAUCCUUUUGAUCGGUCCGGUCUCACCUAUGAAGUUGCUAGCAUGUGUGGGGCUGGUCCAGGUGGUCUCAAGUUUCUGGUCAUUGGUGCUGGGAUUCUCUGGUACCUUGGCUAUUUCCUACCCAUGUUCUCAGCCUUAACUGGGGUAGAAAGAAAAAAAAAUCUUUGUCUUGUGGUCUCCCUCCAGCAUUUUAAUAUGCAGAUAUCUGGGGAGUCUGGGUGUAGAAUGAACAACCUAACUUUCGAUUAAAUAGUUUCCAUUGUUGAAGGCAAGUCUGUUGCUAGCCCAGGUCUGACCAAAUAUGAGUUCUACUCCAACUUGCAGUGAUAUUAGUGAUACGCUCUGGAAAAUCUCAUGAGCAUCUCAUUUAAACUACCGCUCUUUUUCUUCUGGGGAAAACAAAAAAUAAGUAACGGCUCCCCGUCCCCCUAAAAAUUAUAGUAAAUUCAAGGUGACUCCAAAAAUAAAAAUUUGAGGGACAAAGACGAUUGGGGGAAUGGAAGAAAGGGGUGACGAUAUCUUCAGGAGAGGAGGUGGGAGAACAUAACUAGCCUCCUCAGAGACGUUCUCAAAGAGUGGUAUCAGGGAAUCAGAGAAGAUAUCAUGGCGUGGCAGGAAAAAUGCGCUGACACGUGUGCCGUCCUCUGCCCACAAUUUACUUGGCUGUCUCAGAGGUGAGAACUAGUAUUUACACAUCAGAUCACGAAAGGCCCUGUGUGAUAAAGAUGAAUCCAGCAUGAAAAUAUUUAUAGCAAGGUCUGAAGUGUCAUUUCAAGAGGUCCUCCAGGACAUAAACCCAGACUUUCUUCCUUCCCAUGAGUCUGGUCACCACCAUGAUUACGGUACUUGCUGGGUCCCUGGUUCCAUCAUCUCUGCAUCCUGGUUCAGCAUGUCCUUCAGAGUAGAGGAGAGACUGCGGCCGCAAACUGAUAGUCUGCCAAGACGGUGUGUGGCUUCAUUGUGAACACCGAAGUGAGUGACCCCACGGAGCAGUAGGGUGCAUUGGAACGUGUGACUCAUGACGUGGACUUGAGCCUGUGAAGGCGGAAGCCAUCAAAGCUCACCCCUGCUACCGCGGCCAGUUAGGUUUCCGUAGAAUUUUUUUUUUUUCUUCUCCUACUUAUCUUCAACCAUUAGGCAAAGGAUGUUUUACUACUGAAGAGCCCAGAGAGACAAAACUUACACAGCAAUCAACAUUUUGCCCAAGCCAAGGAUGAAGAGCUUUAAGCUACCCUAAGGUCAUUUGAUAGUCAAAUGGUCUAAACCUCUGGGGCGGGAUCGCAAAACUCACUCACACUUUGGGUUGCUCUGUGGUUAGAAACCAAACAGGGCUUCAAAAGGGAAAGACUCCCUCCAGCAAACCCCCCCUGUUUCUUUUGAGGUACGCUGGCAACCCCCUAGCUUUUAUGCUCAGACGAUUUUGAAAAUCAAGUAGAGGCACAUCCCCCCGGGCAAGGAUGGGUCUGACAAGCGCCGGCUGCUCCCUAACUGCACCCCUUUGUUUGGUGCUUCCCUCCCCCACCCCUCAAACUGAGGAAGCGGCAGCAGAACACAGAUCAAGAAUCCAGCAGUUCUGCAAAGUGAUUAGCUGGGGUUGAAUGUCAUUCAGCUUUAAUGCUGGCACAAGGUUCUCUUUUGUUUUGCUCUGAGGACGAGUGCAGGCUUUCAGAGGUGGUAGGAGUGAAGACUUGUUGACUCAAAGCAUUUCUGCUAGGUUAGCCUGGACUCUGCAGAAUGACAUACCCCCUCAGCCUCAGGUUGCCUGUGUUUUGGUAAGAUAGGAAGGGAUCCCCUCUGGGACGGGCAGGCCUGGGGCUAAUUAUACCGCAGGGUGAAUUCAUCACGAAAUCUUUCACUAACAAAGACAAAUUACCUCAUACCUUUUACAAGACCCUAAAAAAAUUAGGUGAGUGAAUCUGUUGUCCAGCCAGCGCAGGAACCCAGACAGCAGAUGGCACUCCUCCAAGAUGACUCCUUUCUCGAAGCGGGUUUGCGUAGACCAAGAUGAGACAGGCAGCCCUUAUCAUCACCUGGCUUAGGAGAUCUUUCACAGACUACAGUCUGCUUUGAUCCUCACGGCAGUCAGUUUGGAGAACAGUGUUGUUAGUACCUGCAUUUGUGAACAAGGAGACUGUGGCCUGGACAGAUUCCCAUAGAAGAAGCCCAAAUAGUUUGGGUGUAGAAGGACAAACAGGUCUUCGGUCUAGAUUCCUGGCUACCACUCUUUUCAGCUGGAUGUGGGAUUUGGUCCCUUUGUUUUAUAGGGAUGAUCGUCCUCAGCUCAUUGGCUCCUGACCGCAGAGGAGAAUCACUGACGCCGAAGCUCACAGGUGCAUCAUGCCUCUCCCAAAGGGCUGUUUUACCCACUGGGAUUCCUUGUACCCAAACUCCUAUCUGCUUAAGUCAAUAGAUAAAAGAUCCAGGUUAGUCUUUCUGGGGUCGUCUUUUCUGAUCUGUAAGAUAUGGGCAAUUACAACAGCUACCCCAACUGAUGAUAGGUCAUUGUUACCGCUGAAAAACGGUAGAAGCCAACAAUAAGCACAGACAUGGGGGUGAUGAUGUUAACGAAGACUGUCUUGCUGAUGAUAAUCCCUAGACUCUCAUAACAUGUGCAGCUCGGAGCUGAAGUCCAAUCCCAUGCCUUCUAAGGCUAACUUGUCACCGGCUUUUCCUAUUGUGAGACAGAAAUGUAGAAUCUAAGACAAGGAUGGUAAGCAAUUUGAAAUCCCAAGAGAUGGGGUUUCUGUGGUGCCGGGACAGACUUCGGAAAGACAAUGGAAGUGUGGGAGGGCUGAGCUAAUGCCUUCCGAAUGGUGGGGAUGGGCUUUGAUGGAAGUCGCUGGGAGAGGCUGGCCUUACUAAUGUGUGCACCGUGUGUGCGGCUGUGGGGCUGAGCUGUGGAGUGGCUGGAUCUGAGUUGUGAACGGAAGUCAUGCCUUCAGAUCCAGUUUGGCAGAAGUGACUCUGCCGUGGUGACCAGGAACCCUCAAUACCCCUCUGUUCAUUCCUUUGUCAUUGUGACCUCUCUUGGGACAAGCACUGGGACCGAUCUCAGUAGUAGCAGCAAGCCUCCCGUGUCAUUACACUACUCCAUUUGCCCCAUGUUUUAGGGUUUUUUGUUUGUUUGUUUGUUUUAUUGUUGUGAUGAUGAUGGUUUUGUUUUUGAGAUAGGGUCUUGUCAUGUAUUCCUGAAGGGGAUGACACUUUUUUUAAUGUAGUCUGUGCUGGCCAACGCAAAUAAAAAUAUUCCUGCCUCA